CGGCAAUAUGUGAAGGUCUCAUUGGAUUCAUAAUGGACGAGGUGGUAGAUCCAAAAGGAGAAUUUUAUUACGAUGGACGACAAUUAGACACUCCGAUCAGCAACACCACGACGGGAAGAUUGUAGACAGAUACUUUAAUUUAUUUGUAUAUAUAAUACGCGCUAAUUAUGAUCGAUUUGUACUAAGCUAGUUGAAUUGUGUAUAUGAAUUGUGUAUAAGGAUUGUGUAUAUAUAUAGUAAUUGUAUAAUUACAAAU
rnacentral:lncRNA from 1 species